rnacentral:rRNA from 1 species
CCUACGGGAGGCAGCAGUCGGGAAUCUUGGACAAUGGGCGCAAGCCUGAUCCAGCCAUGCCGCGUGAAUGAUGAAGGCCUUAGGGUUGUAAAAUUCUUUCGUCGGGGACGAUAAUGACGGUACCCGAAGAAGAAGCUCCGGCUAACUUCGUGC